GCAGCGGUGGUUCAGUGGUAGAAUUCUCACCUUUGAUAUACGAGACCCAGGUUUGAUUCCUGGCCAAUGCA
rnacentral:tRNA from 1 species